GGAACUUAGAAGUUCUUGAUGUUCUGUGGAUAUUCAGCAAUGUUUGAACACGAUGUUCAAACAAGCCGCCACUGAGCCAUGGAUGGCGAAUUGGCGGCGGUUGCGUCAGGAAUGAAAAAGUAAAUCAGAACAUCUAGCACUUCUUAGU
rnacentral:ncRNA from 1 species